UAAAAAAGCUGCAACAAAGUCAAAAGCCAUAAUUUUUACAUUUUUUAUAGCCUACAACACUAUGUGUUGGGGGUAUUAUAAGUUUGAUUGGGCCAAAAAUUAUGUAACACCUCGAAAUAUUGGUUUCCCUGAUAGGAAAAUAUAUAUGGAUCUUCCUAUCUUGCUGAGCAGAGUCGAUCUAGCUAUGUAUGUCCGUCCGUCUGUACAUGUUAACUUAUAAUCACUCUACAGGUCGCAAUUAUGGCCCGAUCUUCACGAAAUUUAGAAUGGAGAUUGGGCUAGAGUCAGAAUAGAAGCCUAUUGCUAUCGCAUAAUAUUAAGGGGUUGAAAUGGACCAAAAAUUGAAAAAUUUCCUUAUUUUGCAGUUGGUCUACAGAUCGGAAUUAUAGACUAAUCGACGCGGAAGUUAGUAUCGGGUUAGAGCUUAGGGCUGGACAGAAGCCUUCCAAUUAGGAUGGUCAUAGGGUAAUAUUUAGUGGGUGAAAUAGACCAUAACAUUUGUCUUAAAUAAAAGUCAAACUUUCCAUUAAACCGCGAAUAUUUUUAAUAGACAAACAGGUCAAUUCUGACCGUUACGUACAUGCCAAUAGUAAAUAUAUCGGAUAAUUAUGGCGAAAUGUAUUCAAUGUGUAUAUACAAAAUGAGGAGAUGUUAGCUAGAAUGGUUAUAUCUCAAGAAUCGCUGGACCGAUUUUGAAAAAUUUUGUCAAUUCAGAAUGCCCUCUUGGCAUAAAAGUAUAAAAUCUAAACAAAGGGCUAGGCCUAUUGUUUUCAAAGAUCUCCGCAAUAUUUUUAGGGGUUGAAAUGGACCAACAACUAAAAAUGUUCCUGGUUUUGCAACCGUUAUAAAGGUCAUAAAUAGAAACCAAUGGACACGAAAUCACAUAGAUGAGUCUAAAUUUGGAGAAACAGGCCUCUUGCUUUUGAAGAUGAUCGCAAAUGUUUAGGGGUUCAAAUGAACCAAAAAUAGAAAAAAUCGUGAUCACACAAUCGAAGCCAUUCGACACGUCUGAGAAGAGCGUUAAGGACAGGGAAGGUUUCUAGCAUUUUGAUGACCAUUGGAUUGUAUUUAGCUGUAAAAUGAACCACAACAUAACAGCACGACGGAGUGCGUAAAUAUUGGUCAAAUGCCCCCGGUCAAAAUGCUAAGGGUAAUAUCUGAGCAGUGCACCGUGAAAUAAUUUCAAAAGUGAAACCUUCCGAAAUGUAUUUGUACAUAAGAGGGCUUAUAAUAUGUUGUAGUGUUGUAGGGUAUCACAUGAUCGGCCCAGCACGACUAUAGCCUUUGCUUGCUUGUUUUUUUUUUUCAAUUUUAUUGAAUGAAAGCAAAAAAUGUCGGAAAUGGGAUCAAAUUUUAGAAUAAGUUUAGAUUUGUUCGAAUUGUUCAUCUUCGGCACCAAUUAUGACCUUCAAACGGACAAUGAAACCGUCACACGCUGCCCGAAUUUUGCUCUGCGUUAUUUUGGCUCAUUCCGUGCAAAGCUCUUGCUUGAGGUGAUCAACACUUUGGUAUCACUAAAGUGACAACCUUGCUCUCCAAAAUACUCCAGACACAAUAGUCCAACAGAUUGGUAUCCGCAGAUUUCAGUGGCCAUUGUGCGCUGGAAAUGAAGCGAGGAACCUCAUUCUGUAACCAUUCUUGGGUGGCGCGUGCUGAAUCCUGUUGGAAUGUCCAAGGUCUGCGGCCACAAUGUUUGCGUGCCCAAGGCUUUAAUACACCCUCCAGAAUAUUUUCGCUAUAAUAUUCUGAUGCCACGGUCGAUCAAUACGAUUAAUAUUUUGUUUGUUUACAAACUGCUGGACAACGAAUGUUUUUGUCAUCGGAGAAAACCAAAUUCCGCAGUUCACCACUUUCGGCUAAGCAAAGCAAUUCUUUAGCUCUUUUGAGUCUAUUUUCUUUCUGUUGCGUUGAAACUUCUUGCCAUUUCAAUGGCUUUACCCCGAGCUCAUUUUUCAAUAUUUGCCGAAUGGAAUAUUGCGAUUUAUUCAGCUCACACGCCAUUUUUCGGCCACUGCGACGCGGGUCUCGAUAAAGUCGCUUCUUUACUUUUCGAACAAUUUCUGCUGAUGUUGCUGUUUUCUUCCGUCCACUUCCUAUAUAAUAUGUAUAAUAUUCAUACACAUUUAAAUGUUGGAGUGCUCUAACGAUAGCCACUUGUGAUUUUCCAGCAAAAUAUUUAAAGAAAUCACACUGUCACGCUUGAAUUCCAUCACGAAUAACUUUUUUUGUGGAAAAUUCUCACCAAAAUGCUUUUGUACGCUUGUAAGCAAUAUAAUGAGCUGUCACUGGAAUAAUUUUAACAGCUGUCGGACGAGUGGCUUAAAAAUGCCAGCAGUCUGAAAUUGGUUGCAGUUUUUUCAUCUCACCCUUUAUAGCCGCAAUAGCCAUAAAUCAGAGGGUAUACAUACUAAGUGUUAUUGAUAAACAUGGCAAGUCAGGAGAAUCCAACUCAUUCCAAAGCCGUAAAAAGUACAGUGUUAUUGAAAUAAAUGCCUGCCAUUGUAUGUUAAGACCACCAGAACCAUGGUUAUACGGCUGAAUAUAAAAUGAGGCGUUAUUCCUUAUCGAAAUAACUUUCUUCUCUGAAAUUCCUUUUUACACCCUGACUUGUAUGGCCGAAGAAGCCACAUGUCAUUCGAUUUUGUACUUUAAAUUUGCUGAAUCUUUUGAAAAUUAGAAGAGUUACCAAAUAUGACCCAAAACUGAAAUGAUGUAAUCAUUUUUAUGGAAUUCUACGAUUUUUGUGAUCGUCUCAUAGAAUAAAAAACAAUCCUUAAUUUAUAACAUGUAAUAUCCUGCACCAAACCUUAAUGAAUGAACUGUUAUAUAUGUUUUGAAAACGGACAAGAUUACGUUGUGGUAUACUUUUUCAGUUUAAAGUAUUAUGAAAUAUUCAAUAUUCAAUAUCACACAUUCUUAUUCAUAGCACGGAUGUUUCUACCAAGUUUGGACGAAAACAGAUACUUCCUUCGAGACUUUUUAUGCGCACUAGUGUGUCAUUUUAAUAUUUCUGAUUAUUUCUUCGAAGAAGAUCCAAGGGGUGUUGGGAAUUUUUUCCCUACCUAGGUUUCCUUAAAACUACACAGCGAACUAUAAACCAAUCAUUAUGAAAACCACAUUAUAACUAAAUUAUGUAAAACACACACACACACACUCGCCCAUACAUGCAUCACCCAACCAACCGACACAUAUGCAUUGCAAAAAGUAAUAAUAAUAAUAAAUAAACUCUGUUUAGAAUAAAACUCUAAGAGCCUAAUAAGAAUAAAAAAACAAAAAUUUAUAUAAAUAAAAUAUGAAAGAAAAAGAUAAACUUAUAACGAAAUUGAAAAAAUAAGUAACAUUUUUAAUAUUAAAAAAAAAAUAAAAGAAAACAAAAAUAAACGGAAGAAAAUAAUUUUUAGAAAAACAAAACUAGCAAUAAAUGAAAUUAAGACAACAACAAAAACCUAUAAAUAUUAACAAAAAAAAAAUUAUAUAAAAAAAUUGCUGCAAUUAUGACAAAAAAAAAGAAAAUAAAAAAAUAAAUAAUUUGUUAAAACAAGGCAUAUGAUUAUGACGCUACAAGAAAAACCGAAAAAUGAAGAAAUUUAUUUUUUAAGUAUAAUGAUAAUAAUUACAGAAAAACAAAAUAUUUAACAUAAUUUAAAUUCUAAUAAAAAAAUAUAAAAUCUUACAAAAAAUAAUAUUGGCAUGUAAUAAUGUUUGGGCUGGAAAUGUUCCAGGUCUUGAAGAAAAAUUCUACGAGAUUUUUUCCAUUUGAAUAUUUUUGUUAAAAAAAAUAAAAAUAUCGUACCAAAAAAUAUUUUUUUAUUUUUUUUUUCGUUGAUUUUUGAUUUUGACCGAUUUUUCUCUUACCUCCUAACUUUUUAAAAAUGUUUUGAAAAAAAACUUUAGCAAUUUUAUAAAUUACUUUUUAUACCCUACAACACUUUGUGUUGGGAGUAUUAUAAGUUUGAUUAGGCCAACAAUUAUGUAACACCUCGAAAUAUUGGUUUCCCACAUAGGAAAGUAAAUAUGAAUCUUCAUAUCGAGCUAUGUAUGUCGGUCUGUCCAUGUUAAUUUGUAAUCACUCUACAGGUCGCAACUAUGUCCCGAUCUUCACGAAAUUUAGAAUGGCGAUGUUGAAAUGAACCAACAACUAAAAAUGUUCCUGAUUUUGUAGAAAUCAAAGGACACGAAAUGUCGGCAAAGGGUAGAAUGCACCUCUAGGCGAUAUCCGAAAUACACAAAAGUCGAACUUUCGCUUAAUUUUCCUGAUCACACAAUUGAAACCAAUCGACACCGAAUUUUGCCUGAGAAGAGAGUUAAGGACAGCGAAGAAGUCUAGCAUUUUGGAUGACAUUUAGCUGUAAAAUGGACCGCAACAACUAACAGCAUGACGGAGUCCGUAAAUAUUAGGCAAGUUUUCCUUGUCAAAAUGCAAAGGGUAAUAUCUGGCAGUGCUCCGUGACAUAAUUUCAAAAGCGAAAUUUUCCAUAGUGGAUUUGGACAUAAGGGGACUUUUAACAUAUUGUAGUGUUGUAGAGUAUCACAUGGUCGGCCCGCACGACUAUAGCCUUUGCCUACUUGUUUCUGCUGAUUUCGUUGACGAAUAUAGCCAAAUAUCGUAGACAAGCAAAUCAUAUAUAUGAGUCUAAAUUUGAAGCUAAGCUAAGCGAAAUCUUCCAAAAUGGAUUUGGACAUAAGGAGGCUUCUAACAUAUUGUAGUGUUGUAGGGUAUCACAUGGUCCGCCCCGCACGACUAUAGCCUUUGCUUACUUGUUUUUAUUUUCCAUUGAAGAUUGAUUUUACUUUUCAUUCUCCAACUCCUUAAACUUGAUUGAGAAAAUAAUUUUUUUUAAUUUAACUUUUAUGUUUUAAUUUUAAAUUAUUUGUUCUACAGUAUUUUGUAAAUAAUCAAAUCUUUAAAAUGAUAAUUUUUAUUUUCUAUAUUUUGAGUAUUAAUAUAUUAUAUAUACAAUUCUUAGAAAUGACAAAAAUUCGUAUUAUUUAUUUUCUUCCUCGAACGUUCCAGUCCCUACAUUAGAACAAAGAAGAAGAAACAAUGAUCCACAAAAAGAAUGCAUAAUUAUUUAAGACGAAAAAAACUUUAUUAGAGAGCUUGUAUAGUAAGUUUAAAUAACUAAAUAAAUAAUAUUAUUAGACAAAAUGCUAAAAUAAUUUAUAAGCUAAUUUAUUAAAUAAUAAUAAUAAUAAAAAAAAACAAAAAACCAACAACAAAACUAUGCAUAAAUAAAUCCAAAACAAAACAACACUAGAGUAAUAGAUGAUAAUAAAUACGAAUGCUAAAUAAAACAAAAGAACAAAAAAAAACUAAAUAAAAAUAAUUUUUAUUAUUAUUAAUACCGAAAAAAACCCAACUAAAAUUGUAAACAGAAAAGGCAAAUACCAUAACUUACAUAAAAAAUAAAAUAUCAAUAAAAAAACACAAAAUCGCAAACAAAUAAAAAAUCUCCCAAAAAGAAAACAAACAAGCGACAGCAACCUAUUAUUGAUAAAUGAAUGACAACAACCAAAAGAAAAACAAACACAAAACGAACAAUUUAUAUUAAAUAUAAAAUAAAACAAAAUAAUAAUAAAUACAUUGCAAUUGUUACAUAUUAUCCCGCAAUACAAAAAAACAACAACAACAACAUACAUACAUAUAAUAUAAAAAGGCAAUAAUACUGUGUUUCUGAAAAUAUUUUGUUUCUGCGGUGGGAUCUACAUGGGUUUGAAUAAUCGUUGUUGAUAUAACGUAUCUCCAUAGAACUUCUUAGUGAAGUAAGAGAUGGUAGAAAGUUUUACUAGUCUUCAAAGAACUUAUCCUUUUAUGCGAGAGAUCGGGUCGGUCGGGUUUAUACAUUAGACUUCAUUAUCCACCUAAAACACGGUCUAGAGGUUCAGAUCCUCUAUUGCACACACCAAUAUUAUUGGCAUAAAGUUCAAGUUGCUACAAAAGUUGUUAAUAUUCAGAAUAUAAAAGAACUUCUACCUUAUUCAUAUUUUUUUGAAAUCGGAGAUCAAUGACCUGUAGUAUGUGUAUGUGGCUUCCGGAUAUUUUUGUACUUAACGAGGCAACAUUAGGAUUUUUUCACAUAUUUUAGUUCUGCAUCUUAUACGGCCUGUGCAUAUCCAAAUGGUGAAAAUGUGCCACCAAAUUGCUUUUAAUUGGGAAUACUGCUUCGAAGACGCGGUAAAUUAGUUCUUUUCGAAUUUUCUAAAAAUACAUCCGAUCAAACUUUAGGUGCAUAAUAGGAUAGGACAAACUGUUCUGCAUUAUCGAUGAUCCUAGGAAGAUCAAUAUCUCUAUAUAGCUUCAUUUAGUUUUAUAUCUCGUCAAGGACCACCCGCAAGGGUCCGGCUGGUUUGACCGACAUUGAAACUGUGGAACAUCCGAGAUUUAAUAAGUGACAAUAUUCUCUAUCUGUCAUCGCGAGGUUUGAGUCCCAGAGCUGUCCAUAUCUUGCUCUCUAACUGUAAAGGAAAGUCAUCCCAGGUACCUAUUAGAAUUCUUCCCUGUUUCAGCCAUCAAUUUCCUAAAUAAGAUUCCAGAGUAGCUGACUAUAUCUUAUCAUGCAUUUUCCUUUUCUAAGGACGUAACUUCCACUUUCUCUCUCUUUCUUUUUGUUCGAGAAACACCUACUGCCGUAGAAAAAUUAUUUAACAAUAUAGAUGACUCUCCUUGAAAAGGAAGAUGACACUCCAGUGGUGUCAAUACGCUGUUUCUAACCAGUAAAGGAAAAGUCAUCCCAGACACGAACAAGAAUUAUCUCUGGUUUUGCUUUCUAUAUCCUCAAAUAGGAUCCAAAAGACCUCACUAUUUCUUAACGUUCUCUUCUUUGCUUAUUUCAGUGUUAGGACUUCAGUCUCUCCCGACAUUUCGGUCUGGGUGGUUGAGUUUCUACUCCUAGCAGAAGAACCACAUUAUCUCUCUAUAUCUGUCCAUAAAGCUUCUACUGCCGUAAAAAGGGUUUGAUGAAUUUGAUCGAAAUUGAAACUGUGGAAUAUCAGGGUUUAAAGAAGUUAGAAUACCCUCUUUCUAUCAUACCCAGAUAUAAAUUAGAAUGCUCCCCUGGUUCAGCCUCAUAUCAUCUCAAUAGGAUACAAGAGGAGUGACUUUGUGUUUUUAAUCUUCCCUAUGCUAUUUUCAGUGUUAGGACACCUGACCCUCUCGAAACUUAGGUCUGGGUAGUUGAAUUCCUUCUCAUAGCAGAAGAAAUAUAACAAUGGUCAUUUUUCAUGCUUAUAUCCCUUUAUAUCAGCACCAAUCGAAGGUUCUAUUCACUAUGUGAUUUUAAUUGUAUCAAUCUCCAGAUCUCACAGAGUCGGUGAAGGGGAAAAUACUGACCAUAGAACAGGCCCCGUACUAGAUCAAGGGUUUGAUAUCUAAGUCGUAUAGAAUACAUACCGCAUAUCUGCAGCAACGAUGAGCACGAGCUAAUUUAGUUAAGGACCGAUACCUGCGUCUGGUUAAUUUGGCGCGCCAAAUAUAGCCUUGUCGGCCUUUUGUAUUCAGUUUUCCACAAUUUCUGGAUAAGCAAUAGUUGUAGAAACUAUAGGGGCUUUAUUCAACGGGUGCCAUCACCCGAGCCUUGCUUGAGCUGAUAGGUAAAUAAAAUUAUCCUUGAUACAGCACAAAUGACUAUCGCCAAUUUUCUCAUUUAUAUGGAAUGGCGAAAGUGAAAGAAAUGCCGUCGAUGCAAUACUUGUUUCGGUGUUAUAAACAAAUCCAUUAUAAUCAUCAUAUGGUGGAUAGGCAACCUUCGUCAAGGCAUGCAUAGAAACACCUUAGGGAGCUGCCUCGACAAACACGAGUAGUUUUGGCACAAUCGAGAUUCUCAACUCAUAUUGGGCUCUAAUUGAAAACAGUGAGCAGAUACCUGGCCAGCAUAUGGAAUAGGCCCACAUAACACUCUGUACCUUUUUAACUGCCCAGCUAAACGUACUCACAUAACCCCUCUCUCCCUAUCCUUUUUGAAUUUGGAGUUAGGAGCCAAAGCCAGGUUAUAGAAAAUUAGUACGAACGCAGCAGUAUGUGCUGCCACCAACAAUUUCCCUCAUCGAAAAAACGUACGACUAUAAAAGAUGCCUAAUAAGAUGCCAAAUUCUUUGAGGUUCCACAGAUGUGCUUUCACAGUCUUUGGCAGCAAGGUGUGUUUUGAAACUUUUCUCCCACAUUUGAGGGCGAAAUCUAACAUCAUGUCUGUCUGUGUAGCGCUUUUGGUAACACUCCAAUCUCCAGCUAUAAUUUUUCACACUCCUUGGUAGACUUUUAAGCCUUUUCAGAGGACUUCUUCAAUAGACCAUGUCUAGGAUCUCUAUGACGACUCACUAAAUCCUACAGACUGGAUGAAAAUUCACAAAGCAAUGAAUCAAGCUUUCUACAACGACAAGCAGGCAGCAGGACUUAAGAAUCUGAUAUUAUGGGAUGAAAACUAAUUAUAUUUUUAUUCAAGUAACUUCUGUGACUUUGUCUCUAAAAGGAACCACAAUCCAUUUUGACACACCCAAUUAAAUGAUUUUGAGUUUGCCACCUCCUUCCUAGUAUUUUUGCAUCUCUUCCCCUAAAAGAGGCCACCCACUUUUUGGGAUUUUUUAUGCAUUAAUUUUUUGCCACUUCCUUUACUAGGCAUUAUAUUUGAGCCUUUAUCUUCAAUUACCUUAUUUUAAUAAAAACUAUUUAAUUUUGUUUGCCAAUAAAGAAAUUUCUUAUUUCCAUUUUAUCCCACCACAAAAAUGGAAAGUUAUCUUUAGCACAGUGUUAUUGUGUGGAAAUUAUCAUAAAGACAAUUCUAAACUGAUUUAAUAAUAAAAACGAAAAAUUAAAGUCAUCACCUUCCUUCCUCUUAAACACUGCAUAAAUGCAUUAAAUUUUAACAUCGCCCCCUCUCCAUCUCCUCCACCUCCCAGAAUAUUUCCUUCAUUAAAAAUAACAAAAAUAAAAUCAGUUAUAUAUAACCGAUGCCGAAGCUACCAUCACCAUUUGCAGAAAUUCAAAGAAAAAAAACAAAAUAUAGAUAAAUUAAAACAAAAUCAUUUAACUAAAAUAAAAAUAAAUGAAAAAAAAAACAUUGUUAAGUUUGUACUAAAAAUAAAAUUAAUAAAAAAAAUCUCACAAUACAUUAUGCAUAAAUAAACCAAAACAAACAAAUAAAGAAUCAAUAAAAACCCAAAAAACAAAUAAUUUGUUUAAAUUAAAUUUUAUUAAUUAAACUCAUAUAGAACAGAUAUGGAAGAAGAAGACGCAAGAAACUUGUUACAGCAUUAUCAUCAUUAACAAAAAUCGAAAAGAAAAAAUAAUAAUAAUUAACACAAAAUAACAUCAUUUUUAUUACAAAAAAAAAAAUAAUAACUUAAAGAAAACAAAAAUAUAAAUCACGCUUUUGUUUUUUUAUUAUUUAACUCACUGUUUAUAAGCUUGAUGUAGGAACAUUUGGAUAAAGGAUUUAAUUUUUUAUUUACUUGGAUUAAUUUUGGGUACAAAUAAUAGUUUCAGGAAAGAAAUUCAAAGUAUUCUAACGCUGGGAUUGCUCUUUAGUGAUAUUCCUAAUUAUUGGUUAUUAUAUUGAUUUUUUUUUCGGGAAAAAAAUAAUGUUUAAAAUUUGAUUCUCCUGGCUCAUUAAUAUUUUUCUAAUAUAAAUAUCAAAUCAACCUACAAAUUCCUUUGGAAAAAUUUUCAAAUCUUCUAUAACUUGCCAUUUUAUUUUUCGUUUUCAUAAUUU